rnacentral:antisense_RNA from 1 species
GGGGGCGUUUGUCUCCCGCUGCAGCUGGAGCUGUAGGUCUAGUCUUCAGAGUACCAGUCUCCGUGACCUUGUGACCUGCAGGUAUUGGGAGAUCCACAGCUAAGAUGCCAGGACCCCCUGGAAGCCUAGAAAUGACGAGGCUGGACUUGGUGGCUCACGC